rnacentral:rRNA from 1 species
CGGGUUUGUAAGUCAGUGGUGAAAGUCUGCAGCUCAACUGUAGAACUGCCAUUGAAACUGCAUACCUUGAGUAAUUAUGAAGUGGUUAGAAUAUGUAGUGUAGCGGUGAAAUGCAUAGAUAUUACAUAGAAUACCGAUUGCGAAGGCAAAUCACUAUUAAUUUACUGACGCUGAUGGACGAAAGCGUAGGUAGCGAACAGGAUUAGAUACCCUGGUAGUCUACGCCGUAAACGAUGGUUACUAGCUGUUCGGACCGAUUAAGGUCUGAGUGGCUAAGCGAAAGUGAUAAGUAACCCACCUGGGGAGUACGUUCGCAAGAAUGAAACUCAAAGGAAUUGACGGGGGCCCGCACAAGCGGUGGAGCAUGUGGUUUAAUUCGAUGAUACGCGAGGAACCUUACCAGGGCUUAAAUGUAGCUUGACAGGGGUGGAAACACCUUUUCCUUCGGGCAAGUUACAAGGUGCUGCAUGGUUGUCGUCAGCUCGUGCCGUGAGGUGUCAGGUUAAGUCCUAUAACGAGCGCAACCCCUGUGGUUAGUUGCCAGCGAGUCAUGUCGGGAACUCUAACCAGACUGCCGGUGCAAACCGUGAGGAAGGUGGGGAUGACGUCAAAUCAUCACGGCCCUUACGUCCUGGGCCACACACGUGCUACAAUGGUAGGGACAGAGAGCAGCCACUGGGCGACCAGGAGCGAAUCUAUAAACCCUAUCACAGUUCGGAUCGGAGUCUGCAACUCGACUCCG